rnacentral:rRNA from 1 species
AUAAACGCUGGCGGCGUGCCUAAUACAUGCAAGUCGAACGGCAGCGGGGGACUUCGGUCCUGCCGGCGAGUGGCGCACGGGUGAGUAACGCGUACGCAACCUACCCUUUACCGGGGCAUAGUCACGGGAAACUGUGAAUAAUUCCGUAUGUGUCCAUUCAAUCGCAUGGUUGGAUGGAUAAAGUUUAGGCGGUAGAGGAUGGGCGUGCGUCUGAUUAGGUAGUUGGUGCGGUAACGGCGCACCAAGCCUGCGAUCAGUAGGGGGCGUGAGAGCGUGGCCCCCCACACGGGUACUGAGACACGGACCCGACUCCUACGGGAGGCAGCAGUAAGGAAUAUUGGUCAAUGGUGGGAACACUGAACCAGCUAUCCCGCGUGCAGGAUGAAGGCCCUCUGGGUUGUAAACUGCUUUUACCAGGGAAGAAACGUGUGGAUUUAUCUGCACCUGACGGUACCUGGGGAAUAAGCACCGGCUAACUCCGU